AUUAAGUAAAUGUGGACAAAGAGGCUGUUUGGCUGGAGGAUGGUAGAGUCUACAGUGGCAAUUACAGUGACAGUCUUGGGCUGAAGCAGCGUGUGGUUCCCAAGAACAACCCCAUGGGAACAAUUGUCAGAAGCGUGCUGGGGAAAGACCCAAUGCAUGAAAUGUCCUUCCCACUGAGGAUUCAUGGAGAGAUGCAAGGAAACCAUGCAAGCAGAGAGGAAACAAGGAAAUAUGUUAUCAGUUUGAUAAAUGUCCUUUUCUCUGAAAC